UGGGGAAUUUUGGACAAUGGGCGCAAGCCUGAUCCAGCCAUGCCGCGUGCGGGAAGAAGGCCUUCGGGUUGUAAACCGCUUUUGUCAGGGAAGAAAUCUUCUGAGUUAAUACCUCGGGAGGAUGACGGUACCUGAAGAAUAAGCACCGGCUAACUACGUGCCAGCAGCCGCGGUAAUACGUAGGGUGCAAGCGUUAAUCGGAAUUACUGGGCGUAAAGCGUGCGCAGGCGGUUUUGUAAGACAGAGGUGAAAUCCCCGGGCUCAACCUGGGAACUGCCUUUGUGACUGCAAGGCUUGAGUGCGGCAGAGGGGGGAUGGAAUUCCGCGUGUAGCAGUGAAAUGCGUAGAUAUGCGGAGGAACACCGAUGGCGAAGGCAAUCCCCCUGGGCCUGCACUGACGCUCAUGCACGAAAGCGUGGGGAGCAAACAGGAUUAGAUACCCUGGUAGUCCACGCCCUAAACGAUGUCAACUGGUUGUUGGGAAGGUUCCUUCCCAGUAACGUAGCUAACGCGUGAAGUUGA
rnacentral:rRNA from 1 species